UAUAUAGAAGAAGGAUAUUCAACUCCCUAUAGCGGGCUAUGUUGGAAAAUAUGCCGUAUUUUGUCGAGGAAGACGAUUUCGUCACAACCAAUGAGCGUCGAGUAUUUGAAAUUGAAAACAUAUAAAUUGACGGUAACCUAUGUUUUUUGACUCAUUUCACUGACAGAUGUGAUGAGAUUAUUAUUGUAAUUUAUAGAUCCAAACGUUUUUUGAAAAAAUAAUGUAUUUUAAAGUUAUUUCCUAGAGUUUGGCUUGGCCUUCUAUAUUCUGGUAUUUGUCUACUAAUAAAUAAUAUCUUAUUUUGUAUUUCGAUGUAUGGAAAUCCGCAAGUUUUGUAUCUGAAGCCGCAAAGAAAUUUCGCUCUAUAAUGUUCUAAAUGUGAGUGCAUGUCAAAAAUUUAAAUAUAUACUUGAAAUAUUAUUUCAAGUUAUAUGCUUUGACAUUUUUUGGAAGUAAACAAAUAUUGAAGAAAGUGUUGUGCCUUCACAGAAUUUAAAUUGGCAUUAGGAAUAGAUUUCCUUGAUUUAGUAAUAAUAUUGCUCAUAGAAAUUGAUAAUGUGAAGAAUAACAAUACAGGAACAUAGAAUAACAAGAAAGAAAUUCUAGCAGCAAGUUAGGUUAUGAGAUAAAUUUUAUUUAUAUAGUUUGUUUAAAGAGUUUAGUUUGAAAAAAAGGUAAAACAAUUAUUAUUGUCCAGGUCAUAUUUGAUAACUGUUGUUAAUUGAUAACAUAUUACAGGGACACAGUAAAAAGACAAAACAUUUAGACCCUUUGAAAGAGAAAUGUUUGCAAUGGAUAUUAAUAAAUUCUAGCCAAUUUGUAUGAUGUACAAUGCAGGCAAUAUUUCUGCCUCCUAACGGACUAUUCGCGUAAAAGAAGAUAACAGAUUUAUUAUUAGUUGGCUAGUGUGUUUGGUUUGGUUUGUAGGAUAGCCAUUGGUAAUUAUAAAGUAUGAAGUCGUCAGGUAUUAAUAAUAGGAAUUGAUCAAAGCUUAUAUAUUUAUUGUGAUA
rnacentral:lncRNA from 1 species